rnacentral:rRNA from 1 species
AGUGAACGCUGGCGGUAGGCCUAACACAUGCAAGUCGGACGGCAGCACAGGAGAGCUUGCUCUCUGGGUGGCGAGUGGCGGACGGGUGAGGAAUACAUCGGAAUCUACUUUUUCGUGGGGGAUAACGUAGGGAAACUUACGCUAAUACCGCAUACGACCUACGGGUGAAAGCAGGGGACCUUCGGGCCUUGCGCGAUUGAAUGAGCCGAUGUCGGAUUAGCUAGUUGGCGGGGUAAGGGCCCACCAAGGCGACGAUCCGUAGCUGGUCUGAGAGGAUGAUCAGCCACACUGGAACUGAGACACGGUCCAGACUCCUACGGGAGGCAGCAGUGGGGAAUAUUGGACAAUGGGCGCAAGCCUGAUCCAGCCAUACCGCGUGGGUGAAGAAGGCCUUCGGGUUGUAAAGCCCUUUUGUUGGGAAAGAAAUCCAGCCGGCUAAUACCUGGUUGGGAUGACGGUACCCAAAGAAUAAGCACCGGCUAACUUCGUGCCAGCCGCCGCAGUAAAAC